UGUGUGUGUGUAGAGAAGCAGGGAAGGAACCUCCCUACCUGAUACUGUCACUCCAAUUAAUCCAGGUCACAGUUCCCAGGCACUAUUCCAAUUUAGUGGGAGAAACCACAAUUAGGAUUUCAGAACAGAGAUUUUAAUCAGACAUCAAAUUGGAUUGAAUAGACUCAUCUACUCAUUUGCCAUGUAACCUUGGCAGGUGACAGCCUCUCUGCCUCAGUUUCCUCUGCUGUAAAAUAGGGGCAAGAUUAGUAAUAUACACCCCGCAGGGCUGUUGGGAAAAUUAAGAGACUGGCAUGUAAAACACUUAGCAGUGCCUGGCACAUGGUAAAUCGGUCAAUAAAUGUUCACUGAUGUUAUUACUGUUAUUCAAAUGACAAUGUUUUUCAAAUGACAAUGACCCUUUAGGCAGACCCCUCCCUGACUGAGUAAAGAGCAGGCCUCUCGUAGCAGAUCCAGACAGGCAGACAGAAAGAGGGCUCACCCGGACUCUGGGGAGAAGCCUCGGAAAUAAACGAGGCGAGAAGGCAGAGCCAUCGGCUGUUCUGGGAGCAAAGGCCUGCGAGACCAGCGGGGCCUUCACUGUCGGGAGAGAGAACAGGGCCAGGCACCUCCGGGAGACCCAUGCUGGCGGGGAACUGCCAGGAACGCAAGGUCCUGCCCUCGCCCCAGCUCGUGCAUGCACACAGACAGUCCCUUCACCUUGCCUUUGGCCUCAACCAACCACAUGGCAUCAGAACCCAGGUUCAGGUUGGGGAAACAUGGUCACAUCUUUGAGAAGUAUGACUCUGGGAAUUCAGACAGGGCUCAGGACAGAGCAGCACCCAGGGCAGGAGGCAGGGAGCCGAUACACGGAGCCUGGGACAGAAGAGGGACCUAGCUAGCAUGGGAACAAACAGGACAGCAACACAGGGGCUGUGACCAAGCGCCACAGACAGACCAGGCCCAUGCUAGCGAUAACCUGCCCCAUCACUGAAGGCCCAGGUACUCCAGGCUCAGUGGCCACUCACCCCAGCAGGAAACCACACAGUGGGCCUCACAGGCACCUGCCUAAACCAUCUGCGAUUUCUUAGCUUCUCUGCACAGACACUGACACCCAUGAGCAGAGACACCAGCCUGCCUCCAGGAUCUGGCUGUGCACCCCUUGAUCGACCUCUUCCUUCUCGCCCAGCCAGAGGAAUGGCUCCUGCCCCAGGGCAGGACAGUGCCCCCUCUCCCUGUCGGGUCCAGGAACAGCUGCCGGAUUCAUUCGUGGGACCCUCCCACGGUCCAGGCCAGAAACCUCGCUGAGGUUGGGUUACUGUGUGAAAGGCUUUUCUCCACCUGACACAGACUUUUCUGCUCCUCUGAGAAGCAUCUGCUCUGCUGUCUGGCAAACUCCUCCCUUCAUCCUCCAGCAUCUACAACAAACCCUCAAAAGGCAACCACCCGGGGACUAAAACUGCGGCCACAGCUAAGCGUGUACUCGUGCCUUCUCCACUCAUCCCAGCGCAGACUCAUCAGCACCCCUUCCUUCCUGCUGGGUUCAGGCUCCAUCCAGUUUAGCUUGGCCCCAACUCGGGCCUCCCUUCACCUCGGAGCUUCAGUGUCAUGACCUGUGAAAAGCAGGGUUGACUGUGGUGUCUGCAGUGAAGCUCCAAAGCAAUUAAAAUGGGUUGGCAACAAGAUAUCACUUGACUCCUAUCCUCUCCCCUCCGGGCCCCUGCAGCCCUGUGCCCCAGCAGUAGGAGAAGGCAACAGUCAGCCUGAGAAGAGAGAAGAGGCUCCCAGCAUCUCCUCGGGGCCUUCCGGACGGAGGCCAGCCCAUCAAGACCUUUCUGACUCUGAGCUGCUGCUACCGCACUAUCAUUACGAUCAUUUGAAACAGCCUCAGGAACAGCAAGCAGUCCUUAAGAGGAAGGCGGCACCGAGACAGGGGGCCAGGGGAAGUCUUCAGAUGAAAGGGCAGGCUACCGAACAGGACACAUUGCGGAGUGCCAGGUCAGCGCUGGGGGUACCUCAACACCCUGAGGAGGAAAGACACCAGAGCCGAGCCUCAAAGCAGGCAAAACUAUGCCAGUGGCUUGGGGACGUUCUGUUCCGAAGCAGUUCAGAUCUCUUCCGUUUGGAGCCUGAAUCAACCCUGCAGUCCCCUGGGGCCAGCCUGGACUCCAGCCAGGUCCAGGCACAUCCUCGUCAUCCAAAAGUCCACUCUGCCUGCCUGUGUGCCCACCCGCCUCCCGCCGCAGACUCUUGCAGACGGCUCCUGCUCCAUCUCACAAGCCGGAUGUGCUGAAGGAGAAACAAGCUGCUGUUGCUGACACUAAGCUCAGUCUCUCUCCCUGCUCACAUGAUCACUUCUCAUUUUCCUAACACAGCCAACCCUGCAGGGGAUUCCCGGAAUAAAAGGCAUCUUUCCCAACUCAGGCAGCUCACAGACCAUUUAGAAAAAGAGCCAGAGACCUAUUGAGGAAGCUCACAUUGGGUGGGACCAAUGAUAAACACAACUGGAUUAAAAAUCAGGGCAGAUCCUUACAGAGAGCUAAGAAGAGUGUCAAUUUUGUUACUGCUCUGUCCUCCUUUCUCUUCCCUUAUGCUAAUAUAAGUAAAUUUAAAGAAACGAUGGCUAGUGAGUGGCUCACCCAGAAAUGGAACAGCCCCGGCUUCUCACUGAUAGAGUCAUCAUGGCCUGGCUCCCCUUGCCCCAAGGAGGGGCGGUGGAGACGGUAAUUACUGCACGAGCUGUUAUUUCAUAUCCUGCUGAGCAGCAGGAAAGAUGCUUGGAAUCACAGAAACAGUAAUGAGAGAAAAGGCAAGAG